UGCAGUGGGGUCUGGGAAACGAGCAAAACCAGAGGUUCAACCAGGCUCCAGGGGAAACGCCUGCAGUCCUCCCUAAAUGUCCUUCCUAAGUUUGUGUCUCCCAUCAGUUUGCCAUCUGAGCUGGCACCCUCAGAGAACUCGACCCCCCAUCCCCAAACUGGACCAAAAGGUCAGCUCUCCACUUGGCCUUUCCAGAGGCCACAGCCCAACCUUAAGGGUGAGAAAGCCACACCCAGCGUGUCCACGCACUUCUAAGCUCCCUUCUAAGCUCCGGUGCAGUCUCCCUUCUGAUCCCCGAGCCGGUUUUUGGCAGAGAUGGGUCGGGCUGGGGACUCUUUGACCUGGCAUCCCCGCAGCCAACUGGCUCAGCCUUCGAAGAGGCCCGGGCUGAACCUCACGUCACCCCCGCUUUGCAAAGCAGCAGGGCCAAGUGCUCUGGCAGGAGAAAGGCCUUUUUUGGUAACGCUGAGCCUGGCGGUUAAGCAGGACCCGGUCAAAACAAACGUCUGGGCUGGGCCCUCCUCCGGCCUCUCCAAGGGCCCCCAUCCCCGCGAGCCAGGAACCACCCCCACCCACCGACCCCCGGGCUCUAGGGGUGGGAGAAUCGAUCUGCGAUCCGCAAGAGAGAGAAAGCACAAGCAGGGGGAGCCGCAGACAGAGGCAGAGGGAGAAGCAGGCUCCCCUGGGCUCAUGACCUGAGCCCAAGACAGACGCUUAGCCAACGGAGCCACCCAGGCACCCUGAAUAGACUCAUUCUGUAGGAGUUUUUGUCCUAGAGAACUUGCAAAUAGAUGCACCAGCUCCCAGGUUGGAGGAAGGGCCCUAAGGAAUGUGUGGAAGGCGGCAUCGUCGCCUGCUUGGAUUAUGACAAUGGCCUCCUAACUGUUCUCCCACUUCCAUGUUGGGCCCCCAACAUUCAUCAUGCUGGAACAGAGGGACCCUGAGGCACACUCCACUCCAACCCAGGGUGGUCAGCAGGUCAUGGCAAGCGGGAGACGUGAUGCUAAUGACUCCGGCUCCACGUGGCGACCAUUCAGGAAAAAGCUGCAAUGUUCUCUCUGCCACAUUAAUCAGAGAAACACAUCAAGAGCUGUUGCAUGGAGACAGCUUUCCUCCCAGUACCUGCCCUGCAUGCUAAUCACCACCCCUCCUGGUGGUGAGUCAGCUCCAUGCCAGGCGGGUGGUGGGGGAAGGCCAGAAAUGCCAGCUCCCUGCGGUGGGGAGCAGCCGGGGCAGGGGAGGGGGGAGCCAGGCCCCACCCCCACACCCACUGCAUAAGACUAUCAUCGAUGGGUGGACAGGUGGAGAUGGCAAGUCGUGGGAGAGUCCAUCCCAAUGUAAACCCUGGGCUACCUCCUUGGGUCUACUAGAGAGAAUUCUCCAGAAGCUGAUCCCUGGACAGAGUCCAGGCUUAAAGCAAGAUGGAUCUCACUGCUAGGCACUUUGGUAACAAUAGGACAUCGCUUCUGGUAGAGCUGCACGUGUGGCAGACACACCUGGAAGCACUCUCCAUAUAUAUUACUCAUUUAACCCUUUAGGAAUAUUCCCACUGUGCGGAUGAGAAAGGCGACACACAGACAGGUUAAGUAGCCAAACCAGGGCUGCACAGCUAGUAACAACUGAUCGGGUGUGAACCCCAGCAACCAUGCCACAGUGCACUCCCCUCCACCGCCUCUCUUUGCUCUGCUGGAGCUCAGAGUCCCCUGAGGCCCUGGGUGCAGUUUGUAUGUUUCACUCAUUCACUCACACAGCUACUGUUUGCAGAACACCUAC